rnacentral:lncRNA from 1 species
GAGGAUGUACAACCUGUACAGCGCAAGGUACACCUUGAUAAAGCUUGGGCAGAAUGUUUUUAAGUCCUCUUGUCCGCGAUUUGGGUCCAUUUUUCUGCCAUAAUUGAUCAUUUUGAGAGCUUUUUAAAGGAUAUUGAAGAGAGAUUCAAGGAGAAACGUUUGGAGGUAAGAAUUUCGGACCUAAAACUCAUUUAUAUUGUGAAAUCCACCUAGAAAAUCAUUGAAUUCUUGCUAAAAAUGGAAGAAAUAGAGCUUGGGAUUUUGAGAUUUUGAUUGGGGAUUUGGAGGACCAUUUGGGGUCGGAUUUGAGAACUUUUGGUAUGUAUGAACUCGUGGGGAAAUACGGAACCCGUUGAUGUAAAAAUUUCUGAAUUUCGAGAAGUGAGCUCGGGGCUCGGGUUUUGCUAAUUUCGGGAUUUUUGAUGUUUUUCGAUUAUUUUUGCUUGGGCUUUGUUCCUUUAGCAUAUUGUGACAUAUUAGUUCUGAUUUUGGAUAGAUUCGACACACGUGGAGGCCAAUUCGAGGGGCAAAGGCGUCGCGAGCUAAAGAAUUAGCUGGUUCGAGGU